GAGGGCUCGGUUGUUUUUUGUUGUUACACUCCUUGAAGUUUAACUACUGAAUGAUGUCACGAAAGAUAAAGCCACCUGUCUCAUCUCCUCUCAACAUUCAUAUUUGAAUGUGCAGCAUUUACAGUAACUUCAACAAAGUUUCUCAACGGCUUCAAGCCAGAGGCCAUUCUCGAUAGCUUUGCAAGUCAAGUGACAACCCCAGCGGCUCUGCAGGCCGGACAGGCCUGAUUGAGCUCAGGCUGCGUUGCAUUGUUGUCGUUAACCAACACACCGCCUAUCUAUUCCCAAAACGUCUCGUCACAACAGAAUCCUGAGAUGUGGAGAUUGGUGGAGCUGGAGAGAAUGGGCAGAUAAUAGAAGUGGACAGUCUGACCUUGCUAACAUGGACAGAGGUGCUGAAAACGACCUCUGAGAGAUCUAGCAGACCUGCUAAUCUGACUUGGUGUACACCCCGGCCACGUGAUCCCCGGUGGAGGAGCCUGAUAGCCUAAAUAGAGCCGCCCGGUGAGAGUGGGGGGUGAAGUUACUGGUAGAGUGACAUGGAGAUGGUGAAGGGAUUCUGUUCAACACAAUCCAUCAUGUCAAUGUUCAAAUGUUUCAUGUGAUUACUUUUGUGUGAUGAUGUGUGACCUGUACUGGGACAUGUGAGAGAAGAGAUCUGAAAAGUCACACGAAGGUGAAGACCAUUUGGGCCUGAGCCUUCUAAUCAUCAAAAGAAAUGGUCCCAGAUUAAAGUUACAGCUAAGACCUGCAGGAUGUUCUGCAGGAUUCACCAUCCAGAGCACACAUAUGACUCACAAAAACAAAUGUGUUUUUAUAUGCCUGGGAUUGACAAUGAUGUGACAGUCACUGACUAUUUGCAUGUGUGUGUAUAUGUGUGUUGUGCAUGUGUGUGUGCAUCGCCCCCCUUUUACAGUAUAGCAGUCUGUGGUGGUAGUGGGGGAAGUGGCAGAGGCAUUGUGAUAUGUUCUCCCUUACUGUGGCACUAAUGCAGAGUGAUGCCCUAAUUAAACCCCCAAAGAAUGCAGAAACAUUCCAUUCCCCAGCAGGCAAAAAGGAGGAGUAGCGCUGUUCCUGUAAAUGCUGGCCAUCUAUGAAAUCCAUCCAUCAUUCCAACCCUCUAUCACAGUCCAUCACUCCCAGCCUCUGUCUCUGUGACACAGAGGGUGAUGUUGGUGAUGAUGGUACACUGCAGCUCCACAAAUAUUUCCUCCUUUAGACCCAAUGAACCCAUUGAAUCAAGUGAGUGACACACAUUUGAACAUAUAGUAUUGUUUCCAAAGUCAAACUCGCCACAUCACUACAUAGCGCAUACAGUAAGCACAGAAGGGUGUUAAAGGUUGAGUCCUUAUCUGAUAGAUCCCCUCAUAAGUUCCUUAAUUAGAAUGAUUGUCAUUAUUGCUUUGUCCUUGUUUGAAUGCAAUAUUUGAAAAACCAAGAUGUUCUUCAUAAUAAUUGUUUCUGAUCUGUAGAGAGCUGGGCGGUGGUGAGCAAAUCCUCAUUCAGUCAAGCAUCUGGUGUUAGAAUGCAUUCUUGUCGAGACAAGGUCUCGGUUUGUCUGCAUAAUUAAACAGUUUGCUACACCUUAAAUGAAUGUUCUGUACAGAAUUGUGUUUCACUAUAAAUUGCGGGACCAAAUGAGAGAUUCUCUAUGACACUUUAUCUCUAUUUGUUUUUGCUAACCCUCAGUUUGUUGCAUUUUGUAAUUUCUAAUUUCUUGUUUCGUUUAUUCCAUUUAAAAUGUAUGUAAACUGGCUGUUUGAAUGCAGCAUGUUUCUCUGGACUGAGGUAUGUCGUUGGACCUAUUUUCUUCAGUGUUAAAUAAUGUGUUAUGGCAGAUGACUAUGGCAGAACCCUAUACACAUACCAUGUCACCCUGCCACCUCUUGUUUAAAGAGCUUUGACAGUGCCAGGCUGCGAGUGGGCUGCAGAAAACUGGAGCAGCUCCAUUUUACUAUUUGCAGUAGAAACAUAGGAAGAAUCACAUAAGGAGAUGAAGAGAAGAAAAAAGACAGAGGGAGAACUUGGUGAAGGAAAAAGAGAAAGAGCGUGGGCUGAGGACAUUCAGAGGAGAUCAAAACGAUGGGGAAGUAGAGAAGAAAAGAGAGAGGACACAGAGCAGUAUUGUAGAAACCCAUAAGAACAUGGACACUCACAGCUCCUUAAAAGCAACAAUAUAACACCACUUUCUGGUUCUUUUUGCUCGUAAAUAAACCCAAUAAUGGCAGAAUGUC